AGACCUUGGGCUGGAGAGAUGGCUCAGUGGUUAAGAGCACCGACUGUUCUUCCUGAGGUCCUGAGUUCAAAUCCCAGCAACCACAUGGUGGCUCACAACCAUCUGUAAUGAGAUUCGAUGCCCUCUUCUGGUGUGUCUGAAGACAGCUACAGUGUACUCAUAUACAAUAAAUAAAUCUUUAAAAAAAAAAAAAAGAAAGAAAGACCUUCACCAGCUGACUUGACUCUUAGCCGUGCGUUUCCUGCUUUUAACUCAGUGCUAUUUGUGCCGGUAUCGUAUAGAUGUGGUAUGUAGGUGUUUCGAGGCCAGAGCAGGAUGCCCAGUCUUCCUCACCAACUCAACCUCCUUGCCUUUAAAAAAAAAGGGGGAGGGUUUCUACGGGGAGCUGAAAGCACAGCAUUCUGGCUUGGCUGACUAGCCCAUGAAGCUUCCAGCUCCACAUGCAUUCACCCACACACAUGCUUGGCUUUUUUAUGGGUUCCAGGAAUCCAAACUCAGAGUUUCAGGCUUACCGAGCCAUAGUCUGUGUGUGCCACUUGUGUGUAGAAUUGCACACAUGCACAUCUGCACGCUCGUGUGGAGGCUGAAGGUCAGGGCGAGGUUACCAUUCUCCACCUCAGUUCUUGAGAUGGGCUUCUUCACUGAACCUGGACUCUAGACAUCUGCUCAUCUCCACGUGCCCAAGGAGGACUGGGGGAUACAUAUGGACAGCCGUGUCUGAAUUUCUACAUGGGUUCUGAGGACCAAAUUUUGGGCCUUAUAUCUUCAUGGCGAACACUUGUUUUCUACUGAACCAUCUCUGCAUUACCUCUACUUAAUUCCCCUGUCCCCCCGCCCCCGCAACAAGAUUAGCUCAUAAAGUUAAUUUUUUUAGCUAGAUGAUUUGUACAGGCAUGGGGUCUGUUUUGUUUUUGCAUACUAUGUCUGCUUACCACAUACAUGCGAUGCCCACAGAGACAAGAUGAAGACAUGGGUCCUCUGAACCGGAGUUACCAAUCUGUCUCCUCUGAAAGAGUAGGCAGUGCUCCUAACUGCUGAGCUGCCUUUCCAGCCACUCAAGAGUAGAAUUAAUUCAAUGACAAUUUAACUAUGGCCAGGUGGUGGUAGUACACAUCUUUAAUCCCAGCACUCAGGAGGCAGAGGCAGGGGGAUCUCUGAGUUUGCGGAAAGUCUGGUCUACAGAGUGAAUCUAGAACAGGUAGGGCUAUACAGGAAAACCCUGUCUCAAAAAAAUCAAAACAAGGGCUGGGGAUUUAGCUCAGUGGUAGAGCGCUUGCCUAGGAAGCACAAGGCCCUGGGUUCGGUCCCCAGCUCCGAAAAAAAGAACCAAAAAAAAAAAAAAAAAAAAAAAAAAUCAAAACAAGGGCUGGGGAGAUGGCUCAGUGGUUAAUAGAACUGACACUGACUGCUCUUCCAGAGGUCCUGAGUUCAAGUCCCAGCAACCACAUGGUGGCUCACAACCAUCUGUAAUGGGAUCUGAUGCCCUCUUCUGGUGUGUCUGAAGACAGCUAUAGUGUACUUAUAAUAAAUAAAUAAAUAAAUAAAUAAAUAAAUAAAUAAAUAAAUCAUAAAAAAUAAAACAAAAUUUACCUAUUAACUGUUUCAGACACAUUAGCUUUCAGUCAUAAUCCUAAAUCAUUUAAAAUAAUGGAGUUGUGUUAUAAAUUAUUUUAGACUUAUAAAAAAUUUUUUCUUUUUUGGGGGGGUUUAAGACAGGGUUUCUCUGUGUAGCCCUGGCUGGCCUGCAAACUCAGAGCCACUACCCCCCUCCCACACACCCGCCUCAUAAAUGCUGGGAUUAAGAGGUUAUGUGUAUGAUAGACGUUUUGCCUGUAUGCACGUCUACACCUCAGUGCCUAGUGACUUUGGAGGCCAGAGCAGGUGUUGAUCCUCCCAUAGAUACAAAGUUACAGGCGGUUGAGAGCAGCCAUAUAAGUGCGAUGGAUCAAAUAUUUCAUUCUCUGAAGAGCAAACAGUGCUCUUAACUGCUGAGCACCUCUCCAGCCCACAGACUUGAUGCUAGGUCCUGCGGUUGGGUAGACAGACUCCUGAAUGCAGCCUUACGUGGUUCCCUAUGAGAUUCAGUAUAACCUGUGUGCUUUCAAAACAGCUUAGAUUGUUGUAUCCGGGUUUAUUGACAGGCGAGGGCAAAGGCUCCCAGCAAGCCUGAUGACCUGAAUUCCACCCCACGCGAUACUUCUACAGAUUUUCUUCUGACUUCCACAAGUGUCCUAGCACGCGCACAACCCCCCAACAAAACGAACAAAUAAAAAGAUCGGCAGAGCCGUCCUCUACAAUCUCCACAUAGGACCUGUUCUCUUCUUCGCUCAGAUGCCACCGGCAAUCCUUAUCACCAUCGGCGGGGGACACGCGGUGCUGCUCCGUUUCCAGGUCAGCAGGGAGGCUGUCCAUGCCCACUUCCGUGAGGCACUCGUUACACAGUCUGUAGCGCCUGGUUCCUUCCUGCACCACUUGCCCUGUGAGGUCAGUCACGUGGCGUUUGCAUUUCCUGCAGAUGAGCUUGCAUGCCUGGUGAAUCUGUGCAGGGAUUCAAAGAGUGAUAAAAAUAAACGUUCAAAACUGGGUCAGCUUGCUAUUUUAGGGAGCAGUUCAUAUACUUAAGAUGCUCAAGGGGUUGGGGAUUUAGCUCAGUGGUAGAGCGCUUGCCUAGGAAGCGCAAGGCCCUGGGUUCGGUCCCCAGCUCCGAAAAAAAAAAAAGAACCAAAAAAAAAAAAAAAAAAGAUGCUCAAAGCAUUAAACCCAAGUUGACGUCUAAUUAUUCCAAGUGCCGGUGAUAAACCCGCACGAUGGACACAUCAGAUAGCAGCUUUCUCUAAAAAAUGGCUGUAAUGUUUUUUUUAUACUAUUACAUACUUAAUAAUUCCAUACAUUCGGGCUGGAGAGAUGGCUCAGCGGUUAAGAGCACUGACUGUUCUUCCAGAGGUCCUGAGUUCAAAUCCCAGCAACCACAUGGUGGCUCACAACCAUCUGUAAUGAGAUCUGAUGCCCUCUUCUGGUGUCUGAAGACACCAUGAGUACUACAGUGUACUUCUAUAUAAUAAUAAAUAUAAUAAAUAAUAAAAAAUCUAAAAAAAAA